ensembl:lncRNA
UUUAUUCAAUCUGUAACAAGAACAUUGAAUCUGCACAUUUGCGCACAAGUUCACAUUUAAAAACAGCGGAGCACAUCAGUAAUAAAAAAAUCUAUGAUACAAGUGGAACAUCCCAACCACCAGGAAGAUUAAGGAAGGAGAUGAGACCACUCUUUAUAUUCUGCUUCAAAUGCCUCAAAAAGGUCCCAGAGAUUCCAGGGAGCACCUGCUUUAUUUAAUAAAAUGUGAGCAUAAAAGUCUAGGGUGGCCUGGGGCAAAGGUAACAGUCAGUGGGAGAGUCCUUUGGACUUGUUUUCUACAUUUAGAACAAGUCCUACAAAAUAAAGUAGAAAGAAAAAAAAGGCACCUUAAGCUAUGCCAAGCAAACCAAAUUCCAAUAAAACACAAAAACCAAACAAUUCCCUGUGGACUUAUUGAUUGGGAAACAUUUCGGGGUCAGUUACCCAGCCUUCGGACUGGGUCAUCAGCUGGAGUUAGCCCAAGAUGCUUUUAAGUUGGAUUGAUGCUGAAAGAGCUAAAAUUUCAUCUCAUCUGCCAUCAAAAAGCAAAACGAAAUGGAACAAAAAUGACACUAGCCAUUCACCAUUACAACCAUCACUGUAAGACACACCAUCACUGAGGAAAUGACAACUAUUUCCACACAGGGUGUUGGAUGGGAGUGCAGGACACAGAUGGAAGUCAGCUCCAGGUUUUCCACAUUUACCCGUGAGGGCUGACCAUAACAGCCUUGCUCUGUGUGAGGACUCAAAGGACAGCCAGGGUCGAGUGCCUGGAGGAGGAGGAGCCUGAGCGGCCAUCAAGAUGAUGCCCGCUUUAAUACUCACAAUGUAAACAAAGUAUCCACAAACAGUUGUUCAAAAACGCCAAAGAAUGGCUUUAUUUAAAAAAUUUAAAAUGCCCUUGAAAGUUACCCUUUUUGCAUAAUGCUUUCUUAAAAAAAAAAAAAAAGAGAGAGAGAGAGAACUCCCACAAAAAUAUCUUUAUCAAACAUGGCUAGAUCACUUCAGAACUGAAAUCCUCAAAUGGAACGAGAGAAGAUUUCUGUGAGCUGCUAUGUCUCAGAAGCUUCAGGUCUAUCCAACAACGUUGUCUGUCUGAGGCCCUGCAGCAGCAGAGGACCUCAGAGUGGACUGACAUCCUCAGGCUGUCCUUGGGGCCGUUGGUAGUUCCAAAAGCAAGAAAGAGGAAAUACCAGUUGGGAUAAAGGUACAGAACCAGGAAAAUGCUAGAUAAAGAGCCUGAAGAGGCUGAGAUGUUAGGAAUGACCCCAAACAUUCAGGAUCUGAAAGGCAACCAAAAUGAGGAGAGAUGAGUAUUACUACACUAGAGUACUGCAGGUCUACUACAGUACAUGCUACUCCUAAGUGUUUCUAAAAUCAAAAAAGGGCUUUCUCUCCUUCCUACUGACCAGGUAACCAUCCAGAUUAUAGCUCAAAAUCUGUCUGCUCCUGGGGCUUUUAACCCAUGCACCACAAAGUUACUCUACACACACACACACACCCCCUUCCAGAGUAAUUUUGAGUCAGACUAUGGUGGUUUUCAGAAGAAAGAGAGGCACUGAGCAAGAGGUCAAAAAUUUCCUACUCAUCUCAGUCAAUCUACCAGGCCUGUUGUUUUGGGCCUGGGCAUUCCAUGAACAGAAGAGGAAACAGGCCACCCAAGAUUAUCACAAAGUUUGGAAAGAAUGAAGUUUGGAAAGUUCUUGAUAGCCCAUCAUGCACUUCCCUUGGACAGAGCUUGGCUAUGUAAACAACACAAGAACACUUAGCAGUGGGAGUUUGAGAGCUGGCAAAAUCCCAUGGCAUGAUUGAAUUACAGACCUUGUGGAGAGGAUG